AAUCCAUAUCGAGGACAUUUCCGCAGGAGCUCCUUGAACCUAUCUCAUGUAUCAAAUAGAGACUCUAAUUCCAUUUGUACAGAAGAUGAUAUGUCAUUCCUAAGCUU